rnacentral:rRNA from 1 species
AUACGAAGGGGGCAAGCGUUGUUCGGAAUAACUGGGCGUAAAGCGCACGUAGGCGGAAUGUUAAGUUAGAGGUGAAAUCCCAGGGCUCAACCCUGGAACUGCCUUUAAUACUGGCAAUCUAGAGACCGAGAGAGGUGAGUGGAAUUCCGAGUGUAGCGGUGAAAUUCGUAGAUAUUCGGAGGAAAACCAGUGGCGAAGGCGGCUCACUGGCUCGGUACUGACGCUGAGGUGCGAAAGCGUGGGGAGCAAACAGGAUUAGAAACCCUAGUAGUCC